rnacentral:lncRNA from 1 species
GGUCAUUGGAGGUCUUUUCUUGCAGAUACGCACAGCUCUCUGGCGCGCGCUCUCUCCUCCAGAGUUGGCCACAGGCGCCCUUCCUUGCAGACCCCAACCACACCCAGUGGCAGAUGGAUUUCUUUGUAACUGGCUUUCUCACUUGUAGGGUCCAUUUUGAGUCUAUUCUUAACAUGGGGUCCUCAUUGUCAAGUAGACAGUCUCUUCCUAGAUGGAUAUGGUAAUGGAAUAUAUGUAGGGUGAAUGUAUAUGAGGUAAAAUGUUGUAACUUAGGAAGAGCAACAAAACAGAUGUGGUAGCUUUAAGGUUCAGAAUACAAAAGUUUAGGCUCAGUUUUCUUUUUAGGUUUAAAUUUGGGGCGUUUAGUGUUUGUGAUCUAUUUUAGUGAAAACAUUCGUUUAGUAUGUUUGGAUAUCAAAAGUCUAAAAAAACACCAGAAAAAUAAAAUAAGUCAAUAUUUAAGGAAUUCGUAAGAAUGCUUGAACUUUGUGUGGCUGUAGCAAUGGUGAAACAAGACGCCAAACUGUACAUCAGGGUAGGAAUUUCAUUAACUAGAGCGUCUGUGUGUUAGGCCUAGUUUACUGUUUGCUUUUUUUUUUUUUUUUUUUUUUUUCUUUUUUCUUUUUUAUGCAGCAAGGGAUCGGAUUUGAGUGUACUCUAAAAUUAGUAUCCUCAGGUUGAACAGAUAGAAACCACUUAAAUCGAUGCAGUGGAAUACCCUGACCUCUUUUAACUGCAAAUCCGUAGAAAUGGAUUAUCUUUCAGCAAAACUAUAUGUUUCUGAUAUUCAUGAAGAAAGGCAUUGCAUUGUAUUAACGUUUUUCAGGCGUUAGCAUUUCAUGAGUAUGGUAAGCGUAGUAGACCCCGUUAUUUUUGUUAAAAUCCUCAUAAAUAAGAUGACCCCCAGGUUUAGAAAAUUGUUAACAAAAGGGAAGGGAGGGAUAAAAUAUAAGUAUCUAACCUAUAUUGCACAUCCAAAUUUUUCUUUAUUUUUUGCAGUGAAAGUAAGUAUAAAUACCAAUUCAAAACGUUUUAGAUAUGGUUUUUGGAAGGGUAAAAGGAUCAACAACCAUGAUGAAUACCUACUAUGUGCAUUGAUAAUGUAUGAGCUUUUAAAUGGUUGAGAUUUUUUUCUCAUCACUCUUAAAAUCCUAUCCUAUUCUCUGGUAAUAGUAUGUUGCGGUCCCAAGUUUUUAUAUCUUGAAGCAUUCCAGAGGAUAUAUUUUAGCAUAAAUACACAAUUUGACUUUAAAACAUACUUUAAACAUGUCAUUUAAUGUACUUUUAUUCUUUACUUUUCUGUUUGGAAUUGUUCUUACUGAAGCAAUGUUUGCUUUAGAUCACUUAAUACAACUUUUUUUUUGAUGAUAAAAGACUUGAGGGUUUUUUUGCUCAGUUCCUUUGGGUACUCUACUAAAAAGUUUUGUGAUAAAGCACUAUAUAAGCAGAAGAAAAGAAUUGUAAUAAAGUUGACGUUUUUAUUAAUUAUCUGAUCCCAGGUGUGUAGAGGCUAUGAAUGUUUCAGUUCUACAUGGGGUAUUGACUUUACAUGGUCAGCAAUAUACAUGGGAUACUAGCACAAUGAGUAUUAAGAGGUAGUAUUUUGGUAGUAGGAUAUCUGGGGUGGAAUCAGAUCUAGAUUGUUCUAAGAUUGUGAUAUUGGGCAAGAUUCAUUUUCCUGAUCUUGUAAUAAAUGAAUUGGAUGGGGUCUGAGCUCCCUUCUAAGCUUUGAGUUUUCUGAUUUUUAUAAAUUUAUGAUGUUAUCAUGGAGUAGCAAUGAUGGGUUAUUUGCCUAAGGGCAGAGAGGUUUUUUUGUUCCUUUCAAAUUUAAACACAUAAGUUGAAUAUGAAGCAUAAUUGAAUCACGAGUAUAAAAAACAUUUUACUAACAGUUUAUGCAGUCAGUUUUAAACUCUUGGUCUUCAUUUCCAGAUAUCGUCUCUUCUUUUGACCACUGUUCCUGAUUGUGGCUUUGUCCAAGCAUUAAAUUGCGUGCCUUUUGUUCCUUGAAGAAGGAGGUAUGGUAAAGAUUGAAGUAUUAUAGUAGUAGUCUAUUAAGCAGUAAGUUAAUAUGUUUUGAUAUGGGACAAAAAAAUAAGAGUUACGAGUUUUCAUAAGUUAUAGUUUUAUGUUUGGCUUAAAUAAAAAAUACAGAUUUCCUUUUAAUGUUGGCAGAAAAGGUAGUUUUGGUUUCCUAGUUUGUUAUUUAACAUUUCAUUAGAAAUCUAAAGAUAAUUUAAGCUGUAUUUUUCUAAA